rnacentral:rRNA from 1 species
UACGUAGGGGGCAAGCGUUGUCCGGAAUCAUUGGGCGUAAAGCGCGUGUAGGCGGCUGAGUAAGUCUGCUCUGAAAGCCCGGGGCUCAACCCCGGGAGGCGGGUGGAUACUGCUCAGCUCGAGUCCGGAAGAGGAGUGUGGAAUUCCUGGUGUAGCGGUGAAAUGCGCAGAUAUCAGGAGGAACACCAAUGGCGAAGGCAGCUCGCUGGAACGGUACUGACGCUGAGGCGCGAAAGCGUGGGGAGCGAACAGG